GAUGAACGCUGGCGGCGUGCCUAAUACAUGCAAGUCGAGCGAACAGACGAGGAGCUUGCUCUUCUGACGUUCGCGGCGGACGGGUGAGUAAAACGUGGAUAACCUACCUAUAAGACUGGGAUAAAUUCGGGAAACCGGAGCUAAUACCGGAUAAUCUAUUGAACCGCAUGGUUCAGUAGUGUAAGACGGCUUUGCUGUCACUGAUAGCUGAUUCCGCGCCGCAUUAGCUAGUUGGUAAGGUAACGGCUUACCAAGGCGACGAUGCGUAGCCGACCUGAGAGGGUGAUCGGCCACACUGGAACUGAGACACGGUCCAGACUCCUACGGGAGGCAGCAGUAGGGAAUCUUCCGCAAUGGGCGAAAGCCUGACGGAGCAACGCCGCGUGAGUGAUGAAGGUCUUCGGAUCGUAAAACUCUGUUAUUAGGGAAGAACAAAUGUGUAAGUAACUAUGCACGUCUUGACGGUACCUAAUCAGAAAGCCACGGCUAACUACGUG
rnacentral:rRNA from 1 species